CCCUGGGUGGCUCAGUCGGUUGAGCACCCGACUUCAGCCCGGGUCGUGAUUUUGCGGUUCGUGGGUUCGAGCCCCACAUCGGGCU
rnacentral:tRNA from 1 species